UCCGGUGGCGAUAGCGGAGAGGAUACACCCGUCUCCAUUCCGAACACGGAAGUUAAGCUCUCUAGCGCCGAUGGUACUGCAUGGGUGACUGUGUGGGAGAGUAGGAAGCUGCCGGGA
rnacentral:rRNA from 3 species